rnacentral:rRNA from 1 species
AGCGAACGCUGGCGGCAGGCCUAAUACAUGCAAGUCGAGCGCACCUUCGGGUGAGCGGCGGACGGGUGAGUAACGCGUGGGAAUAUGCCCUUUGGUACGGAACAACUGAGGGAAACUUCAGCUAAUACCGUAUGUGCCCUUCGGGGGAAAGAUUUAUCGCCAUUGGAGUAGCCCGCGUUGGAUUAGCUAGUUGGUAGGGUAAAGGCCUACCAAGGCUACGAUCCAUAGCUGGUCUGAGAGGAUGAUCAGCCACAUUGGGACUGAGACACGGCCCAAACUCCUACGGGAGGCAGCAGUAGGGAAUCUUGCGCAAUGGGCGAAAGCCUGACGCAGCCAUGCCGCGUGAAUGAUGAAGGUCUUAGAUUGUAAAUUCUUUCACCGGGAAGAUAAUGACGGUACCCGGAGAAGAAGCCCCCGGCUAACUUCGUGCCAGCCGCCG